CGCGUAGGUGGUAAGGUCAGUCGGAUGUGAAAGCCCCGGGCUUAACCUGGGAACUGCAUUCGAUACUGCCUUGCUAGAGUAUGGUAGAGGGAAGUGGAAUUCCGGGUGUAGCGGUGAAAUGCGUAGAUAUCCGGAGGAACACCAGUGGCGAAGGCGACUUCCUGGACCAAUACUGACGCUGAGGCGCGAAAGCGUGGGGAGCAAACAGGAUUAGAUACCUGGUAGUCC
rnacentral:rRNA from 1 species